rnacentral:rRNA from 1 species
UACAGAGGGUGCAAGCGUUGUCCGGAAUCAUUGGGCGUAAAGCGCGUGUAGGCGGCUGACUAAGUCCGCUCUGAAAGCCCGGGGCUCAACCCCGGGAGGCGGUGGAUACUGGUCAGCUCGAGUCCGGAAGAGGAGUGGUGGAAUUCCUGGUGUAGCGGUGAAAUGCGUAGAUAUAGGAAGGAACACCAGUGGCGAAGGCGACCACCUGGGCUCAUACUGACACUGAGGUGCGAAAGCGUGGGGAGCAAACAGG